CCUACGGGUGGCAGCAGUGGGGAAUAUUGCACAAUGGGGGAAACCCUGAUGCAGCGACGCCGCGUGAGCGAUGAAGUAUUUCGGUAUGUAAAGCUCUAUCAGCAGGGAAGAAAAUGACGGUACCUGACUAAGAAGCCCCGGCUAACUACGUGCCAGCAGCCGCGGUAAUACGUAGGGGGCAAGCGUUAUCCGGAUUUACUGGGUGUAAAGGGAGCGUAGACGGCUUGGCAAGCCAGAUGUGAAAGGCUGGGGCUCAACCCCAGGACUGCAUUUGGAACUGUCAUGCUAGAGUGUCGGAGAGGCAGGCGGAAUUCCUAGUGUAGCGGUGAAAUGCGUAGAUAUUAGGAGGAACACCAGUGGCGAAGGCGGCCUGCUGGACGAUGACUGACGUUGAGGCUCGAAAGCGUGGGGAGCAAACAGGAUUAGAUACCCUAGUAGUC
rnacentral:rRNA from 1 species